AUUGAACGCCGGCGGCAUGCCUUACACAUGCAAGUCGAACGGUAACGCGGGGGCAACCCUGGCGACGAGUGGCGAACGGGUGAGUAAUACAUCGGAACGUACCCAGUAGUGGGGGAUAGCUCGGCGAAAGCCGGAUUAAUACCGCAUACGACCUAUGGGUGAAAGCGGGGGAUCGCAAGACCUCGCGCUAUUGGAGCGGCCGAUGUCGGAUUAGCUAGUUGGUGAGGUAAAGGCUCACCAAGGCUACGAUCCGUAGCUGGUCUGAGAGGACGACCAGCCACACUGGGACUGAGACACGGCCCAGACUCCUACGGGAGGCAGCAGUGGGGAAUUUUGGACAAUGGGCGAAAGCCUGAUCCAGCCAUGCCGCGUGUGUGAAGAAGGCCUCGG
rnacentral:rRNA from 1 species